AUGUGUGUGCAAUGGUUUGAAACACACCCUGAGGAGGGCAUUUCUGAAACGUCUCUGAACAGCUCAUCUGUUCUGUCAGCAGCCUCAUUGUUCGCACAAUUUUCCAUUAGAUGAGCCAUUCAUCUGCUGUGGGAGACAUCUUUACUUUUUUCAUCGAAGUGAAAGUUGACAGGCUUUGGUUGAUUCUUUAUUCCUGGAAUGUUACCUAAUGUUUUCCAGUGUAAUACAUUUAACUUAAAAACUGAUAUUUUAGAUUUGUACAUUAAAACGAAGCACUGGGGAUACAUGUGAGUGCAUAGAAUAUAAUCUCUGUACAUCUGAACAAUGCAGAGGAACAUGAAAACUGGGGAUGCUGUUGAAGAUUCACUCUAUAAGAAUCUUGUAUUUGAAACCUAAUGUUGACACAGAGAAGAAUAAAAAUAAGAAUUGAUGAUUUUGAUAUGAUAAUAACUCUGAAGUCUGUAGAGAUUUACUACCCAAGGUCAUGGUGCUGGGCAACUACAGGUCCAGGGGCCAGCCAGAGCAGAGUUGCAUAUUCCACCCUUCCCUGUAAGGCCUGUGUCCCUGCACUGGCUUCUGAGGCAGAUGGAGAAACUGAGGCUUCAGGUCCCCCAGCUAAUAAAGGGGCAGCAGGAAAACAGUCUGUGAGACAUCCUAUGGCAAGAAGAAUCUGCGAGCAGUUCCAAUUUCUGCUACUUCUAAGACUGAUGAAGAUGGAUUGAUAACAAUAAUUGGUAUCAGAAUCAUGUGUCACCUCAUGAAACAGAGCAGUGCCACUGGCCUGAUAGAGGUAGGAACACUCUUGCCUUAUUUUCUGUUUCAUUCUGGAUCAGAGAUCCAGGUUUUUAUCAACAGGAAAAUUAUGCCCCCACCUGUUAUGGACUGCAUGUUUGUAUCCCCCCAAAUUCAUAUGUUGAAAUCCUGACCCCUAGUGUGAUGGUAUUAGGAUAUGGGUCCUUUGGGUUGUAAUUAGGUCGUGAGAGUGGGGCCCUCGUGAAUGGGAUUAGUGCCCUUAUAGGAAGAGCAUUUGAGACAUGAGAGUUUUCUCUCUCUUUCUGACAUGUGAGGAUACAAAGAAAACAUGGCCAUCUGAAAACCAAGAAGCAGGGCCUUCACCAGUCAUGGGAUCUGUUGGCACCUUGAUCUUGGACUUCCCAACCUCAAAAACUGUGAGAAACAAACGCUUGUUGCUUAAGCCAGCCUGUCUACGUGUAUUUGUUAUAGUAGCCUGAACUAGGUUACCUCUUCUCUUCUAAAUGGCGCUAUUUUGAGGUAGUGCAAACAUUGUCCUCUUCUGUUCAUAGCUUUUGAUCAUUCUUU
rnacentral:lncRNA from 1 species